CCUUCGAUAGCUCAGUUGGAAGAGCGUGGGACUGUAAUCUGCUAAUCAACCGGAGUAAAAACAUUUACUCCGUUAGGUCAUCCCAAGGUCACUGGAUCGACGCCGGUUCGAAGGA
rnacentral:tRNA from 1 species